rnacentral:rRNA from 1 species
UGAACGCUGGCGGCAUGCCUUACACAUGCAAGUCGAACGGCAGCACGGGAGCAAUCCUGGUGGCGAGUGGCGGAACGGGUGAGUAAUAUAUCGGAACGUGCCCAGUAGUGGGGGAUAGCCCGGCGAAAGCCGGAUUAAUACCGCAUACGACCUACGGGUGAAAGGGGGGGACCGCAAGACCUCUCGCUAUUGGAGCGGCCGAUAUCAGAUUAGGUUGUUGGUGGGGUAAAAGCCCACCAAGCCGACGAUCUGUAGCUGGUCUGAGAGGACGACCAGCCACACUGGGACUGAGACACGGCCCAGACUCCUACGGGAGGCAGCAGUGGGGAAUUUUGGACAAUGGGCGCAA